rnacentral:rRNA from 1 species
UACAGAGGUCCCAAGCGUUGUUCGGAUUUACUGGGCGUAAAGAGCGCGCAGGCGGUCGUUCAAGUCAGGCGUGAAAGCCCCGGGCUCAACCUGGGAACCGCGCUUGAGACUGGCACGCUCGAGUUCGGGAGAGGAUGGUGGAAUUCCCAGUGUAGAGGUGAAAUUCGUAGAUAUUGGGAAGAACACCAGUGGCGAAGGCGGCUCACUGGCCCGAUACUGACGCUGAGGCACGAAAGCGUGGGGAGCAAACAGG